rnacentral:rRNA from 1 species
UUAUGGCUCAGGAUGAACGCUAGCUACAGGCUUAACACAUGCAAGUCGAGGGGAAACGACAUCGAAAGCUUGCUUUUGAUGGGCGUCGACCGGCGCACGGGUGAGUAACGCGUAUCCAACCUGCCCAUCACUUGGGGAUAACCUUGCGAAAGUAAGACUAAUACCCAAUGAUAUCUCUAGAAGACAUCUGAAGGAGAUUAAAGAUUUAUCGGUGAUGGAUGGGGAUGCGUCUGAUUAGCUUGUUGGCGGGGUAACGGCCCACCAAGGCGACGAUCAGUAGGGGUUCUGAGAGGAAGGUCCCCCACAUUGGAACUGAGACACGGUCCAAACUCCUACGGGAGGCAGCAGUGAGGAAUAUUGGUCAAUGGACGAGAGCCUGAACCAGCCAAGUAGCGUGCAGGAAGACGGCCCUAUGGGUUGUAAACUGCUUUUAUAAGGGAAUAAAGUGAGUCUCGUGAGACUUUUUGCAUGUACCUUAUGAAUAAGGACCGGCUAAUUCCGUGCCAGCAGCCGCGGUAAUACGGAAGGUCCGGGCGUUAUCCGGAUUUAUUGGGUUUAAAGGGAGCGUAGGCCGGAGAUUAAGCGUGUUGUGAAAUGUAGAUGCUCAACAUCUGAACUGCAGCGCGAACUGGUUUCCUUGAGUACGCACAAAGUGGGCGGAAUUCGUGGUGUAGCGGUGAAAUGCUUAGAUAUCACGAAGAACUCCGAUUGCGAAGGCAGCUCACUGGAGCGCAACUGACGCUGAAGCUCGAAAGUGCGGGUAUCGAACAGGAUUAGAUACCCUGGUAGUCCGCACGGUAAACGAUGGAUGCCCGCUGUUGGUCUGAAUAGGUCAGCGGCCAAGCGAAAGCAUUUAGCAUCCCACCUGGGGAGUACGCCGGCAACGGUGCAACUCAAAGGAAUUGACGGA